rnacentral:lncRNA from 1 species
ACAUGCGAAGGUUGAACUUUUAGAGAAAUAUAUAUAUACACACACACACAUCUACAUAUUAAGAAAGCAAUAAGCAAAGAAUAAAAACAACACGGAGGGGACAAAUUUUAUUGUCUCUUAAAGAGAAGGGUGAGAGUCUUGACAUUUUGGAUGCUAUUCCUUCAUCAGGAGAAAGAAAGAAAACACAAAAUAGAUGAGAAUGAACGAGGAUAAGUGUUUGCAGAAAAAGAAAAUGGAAUAGUUAGGGGUCAGGUAGGAAUGUGGUUUGGUGAGGGGAGUUAGGAAGGGAGGUGGGGGUCGAGUGACGUGAGAAUAUGUAUGAGUGUAUCCUUGUAUGGAGAUGAGCAUAGGGGAAUUAUGUAUGUUUGUAUGGAGUGUGUGGAAGUCUGCAAGUAUGGGGGUGUACUAGCAUGGAGUUAUGGUUUGUAGGAAGAAGUGUUGUAACAUUAAUAUUAUUGCAUGUGAAAGGAAGGUGAGGAGAGUAUCGAGGUAGGUGGAGAACAGAUCAGUGGAGCAGUUACAAGCAAAUUCAAUAGGGCAUCCGAAGCUUUUGGGCUCGUGGAUAUUUGGAAUGAAACAGAUGAUGGGUGUAGGGUGUGUGUGUGUGGGGGGUUUGGAGGAUAUGGUGGAUGAUAGAUGUUUGUAGCAGGGGUAAGAUCAAGGGGCAUUGGAUGAUAGAAGGGGAGCUUCUGGAGCUGGUGCAUGGCUUCAGUUCUGGAGAGGUCAGUUCACUGCACUUGUCAGCUGGUUUGAUGAUGGUGGGAGUGGUGAGUUUGGAUUGAAUGCUGUUGAAGGUUAAAGUGGUAGGCAUCAGCAAAUAAUUCCAGAGUACUAAACUGGCUAGGGUUCAAUGUGCAGUGUGAUAGUUCAUAACUUAAUUUGCUGGAGCAAUUGGAGGCUGUUGGCACCAGAAGGAUAUUAUGAAGAAGGUGAUGGCUGGUGAGAAGGAAAAGAGGAGUGGGAGAAGUAGGAGAGUGGGGAAGUGUGGGAAGGGCAGGAGAAGGCGGUGGAUGAAGCAUGAAUGAGUGAACAAGGAGAGAAGUGGGAGGACCUGGGAAGUGAGAAAAGUAGAAUGAAAAGAAGAAAGGUGGUUGUGGGAUAUGUAUAUGAAUGUGUGUGUGUGUACAUAUAUAUAGAUGUGUGUGUGUGUAUAUAUAUAUAUAUAUAUAUAGAUGUGUAUGUGUGUAUAUAUAUAUAUAUAUGUAUGUAUGUGUGUGUGUGUGUGUAUAUAUAUAUAUGUGUGUGUGUGUGUAUAUAUAUAUAUAUGUGUAUGUAUGUGUGUGUGUGUAUAUAUAUAUAUAUAUGUAUAUAGAUGUGUGUUUGUGUGCAUAUAUAUAGAUGUGCAUGUAUGUGUGUGCGUGUGCGCAUAUGUGUAUAUAUGAGUGUAUGUGUACUUGUGUUGAUAUAUAUGUAUAUGCAUAUAUACGUGUGUGUGUAUAUAUAUAUAUAUAUGUCUUGUAUAUAUGUGUGUAUCUGUGAGUGAAUACAUACAUAUAUGUAUCUGUGUAUGUGUGUGAAUAUAUAAGGAUAAAAGCAAUCAAUUUUCAUAAUUAGAAAAAAGCAAGUCAUCAUAAUCUUAUCACAAAACUAAAUUUUAGAUACAAAAACAAUUGUUUUCAACUAUUUCUGAUUUCUUUUUUUUUCAUCAUUUUCAUUCCCAUAAUCAAGCAUAAACUUAAUACUGAAUGAAUAGCUUAAGAAUUAAUUAAGAGUGGAAUGAUUAAAAUGGGAAAUGUUUUACUGAAUAUUAAUUGAACAUGUAAAAAUAAAGUUUUAAAAAAAAUGUGUUGGUAAUAUAUUAUUUUUGUUUUGAUGCUGAAAAAUAAUUUUUUCCCUGUGGAAAUGUGCUGAUCAUCACUAAAAUUUGAUAAUUGUUUAGUGAAUUUAUUUAUUUAUUUUUUUGUUUGUUUUUACUUGUUUCAGUCAUUGGACUGUGGCUGUGCUGGAGCACUGCUUUGAAAGUUUUUUGUUUAACAAAUUGACUCCAGUGCUUAUUUUCAAAAGCCUGGUACUUAUUCUAAUGUUUUUUUUUUUUUUUACUGAACUGCUAUGUUACAGGGAAGUAAACGAACCAACAUUGGUUGCCAAGCGAUUGUGAGAGACAAAGACACAUACACACACUUAUAUUCAUACAUAUAUACAUAUGCACACACACACACACACACACAUAUAUAUAUAUAUAUAACCCAUGACAAUAUGGAAGGUGGAUGUUAAACAAUGAUGAUGAUGAUGAUACACACAUGCACACACACUCACACACACACACACACACACACACACACACAUAUGGAAAAUAGAUGUUAAAUGAUGAUGAUGAUAUAUAUAAUACAUGAUGGGCUUUCUUCAAUUUCUGUUGGCCAAGUCCACUCUCAAGGCUUUGGUUAAUCCAGGAUAUAGCAAAGGACACUUGCCUAAAGUACCCUGCAACUAUGUUCUUAACUUUUCUGACCAAUUCCACUUGUUGUUUGUUUAUAGGAUUGACUCUCAUCUCUGAUUUUCUGUAGCUAAAAUCCUAAUAUGUUUACUGUAGAAUAUGCUCAAAUACCAUGUUGGUAAAUAACAAACUUUAAUUAUUUUUAAUUAGUACUUUGUCAGUAUUCUUUAGUUGAUAAUUCUAAAGUAAUAAAUAUUACCAUGGCAGCAAUAACUCCUUAUUGUUAUAUCAAUUAUUGAUUUCUGUAUGUGGUAGCUUGUGAGAUGAUCUCAUUGAAUCCUUUUGGUCAAUGGGGUAUAGAAAAACAGGGUAUAUUUUCAGGAAAUGUUACUUUUGCAUUUGUAUAGUAUUUUUAUUUGCUUUAUAUUUUCUACAUUAUUUAUAAACAUAGCACAUUAUUAUUUAAAAAUUUAUCAUUAUAAAAUGAUUUUCACUCAAAUUUGCUUUAUAAAGUUCAGUGUAUUCUACCCAUAUGCCAGGGGUAGAAUCAUUAUCUUUAUGUUUGUUUUCUAUGCUGGCAUUAGUUUUAUGGUUCAACAGGAGCUGGCAAACCAGAGGACUUUGCCAUGCCCCAAUAUCUGCUUUGGCAUGAUUUUAACAGAUGGAUGCCCUUCCUAAUGCCAACCACUUUACAGAGUGUACUGAGUGCUUUUUACGUGGCACCAGCAUGAGUGAAGUCACUAAGUAACUCAUAAAUCAAGACCCCUUGACUGAAGGGUGUAUUAUUGAGACAAGUGGCUUUAUGCCAGGUGAUGAGGGGUUAAAGUAUAAUAGAAGGAUUGGAAUAAGUGUCUUGCUGUAGAAGAGAUACUUGGCUAGCCCAGUUAGAAAAGAGAGAAGAUGGUGGUGAAGAUGUGUCUGGGCAUACAGUCAAGUUGUAGGAAGGUGGAAUAUAAGAGAAGUGGUACAGAGAGGUAAACAGAGUAGAAAAAAACUAUUUUUUUAUCUUGAAUGGAAGUUUGUUAUACAAAGUUAUUACCAUUUAGAACCAAUCAUACUAAGUAUCAAGGUAAAUUUCUUGAAAGGUUAAUUCUGUUUUUAAAUAAACAUCUUGUAUCUUGUAUCAUAACUGUUUAAAACAAUAGUUUUUAAUUUUUUAUACAUAUUUUAUGUUCAGUUUUCAGUCAUCAGGUUGUUUUAAUUGUAUGUUUUAAAUAUGAAUUGUGUUGAUCUCACUAAUCUUGGAUGACCUGCACAGAGAGCUUGAGAGAGUGCUUCCCAGCUUUCAGCUUAUUGGCACUGAUAGUGCAGUAGAUCAUUGUUUAACAUCUCAUCUGGCAUCUCUGAUUCUUCUAUGUCCGUUAUAUUUAGUGCUUCAAACAGUGUUUGAAUCAGCACAAAAAUAGAAUGGGAUUUAAUUUGUUUUAAAUGGAUUUAAGAACUGACUUUAUACCUAAGUAUAAAAAGUUAAAUGAAACUUUAAAUUAUGCGGGAAACCUGCUGAUUUUACUUCUCUCUCUCUCUUUUUUUCUCCAUUUAGUGUCAGCAAUACCAUCUCUGUUACAACUACUUCCAUAACUACCAACUGUCCUUUUUUUUUAUUAUUAAUGUUACUUACAAUGUCUCAAAUGGUAGAAAUGAACAUGCAAUUGUACAAGAUGUUGAUAUGAAGAAUAUUUAUGAUAGUCAGGACAUCCUCUUAUCCUAAUUAUGUUAAACUGUGAUUUCAGGCUUAAAACAUUGUUUUUAUUAAGGGGAUGAGACUUACGAUUAUGGUAUACAUUAGUGAAUUCUUUCACUAUUACUAAUUUUUGUCUGACUUUCAUUAUUGUAUGCUGAUAUAAGGCAGCAAGUGGGCAGAGUUGUUAGUAUGCUGGACAGAAUACUUAAUAUAAGGUAUUGGUGUAUCUCGGGCGACAUAGUUGUGAUCUAGUAAUAACCAUUGGAAAAUCUGAUGAAGGAUUAUAGAUCUGAAAGCACUUACUUAACCAAUCAACCCAAGAACUAGCGACAAGGACAUACACAGACCACAUGCUACCAGUAGGUUCCCUUUAUGUAUGUAUGUAUGUGUGUGUGUCUGUCUGUCUGUCUGUUUCUCUAUCCAUCCAUCCAUCUACCUCCCUAGCUCUCAAAAGAACUGUUAGACCUUUUGAACUUUUGAAAAUUUAAAGAAAAAACUUUCUGGGAUUUUUAAAUGAGGAUUUCCCAGAGCUUCCUCACUGUUCAUAUAAUUUAUCAAAACCUUUCACACUACCUCAGCUUCUUGUCAUCUUUUCAUUUUUAAUUUAAAAAAUUUUUCAUUUUGUGAUUUUUCUACAUUUUCUAUUGUUUUUUCUUUGUUGUUCAAUUCUGUCAUCUUUCAUUCUUAGCUUUUGGUUUCCCCAUUGCUAAUUGCUACUUCUCAAGUGUCACUUCCUUCUACCUGUUCCUCCUAACUUAGCUUUACUUCUCUUAGCCUAGCACCCCUUCUCACCAACCUACUACAGUGUUAUCCUGUUAUCUCUCUGUACUAAAAUGCUUAGUAGCAUUUUUCUGACUAUGUUCUGAGGUUGACAUUGCCUGGGUCAAUAAACUAGAUACCAGUCAAGCACUGGAGUUGAUGUAAUCGACCAGCCUCCUUCCUUCCUUCAAGGUUGCUGGCCUUGCGCCAAAAUUAGAAAGAAUUAUAUACUGAUAUAUUUAGUUGUUAUACUCACAGUAUUGCUAUCAUUCUAACCUCUGCUUUUCUUCAGGUAUCUUCAGGUAUCUUUCUUAAUGUACCCAUAGGGUUAUACCCAUGGGGUUAAAUAUACUCAUGGGAUUAUUAUAUUAUCUGCAUCAGGGUUAUUUUUUACACAAUGGAAUAUCUUUGAUCUGGACAAAGGAAGGAGAACAAUCUAUCUCUGUAUAUUUAAUAAAAGGUUCAAUUUGAAAUUCCAAGAAUGUUACUUAAUACAGAAAGCACCUGGAGAAUGCUAGAAGGAACAACAGUUGAAAUUUGUGACUGAACAACCAAGAUGGAGAACCUAGUCUGAAUAUGUCUACUUACUUAUUAAAAUUUAUUUGAAUUAGAAUAACUACUUAUUUUUUAAAUGUCGGGGUCUCAAAGCGACGAAAAUAUUUUGACAAAUUAAAUUUAAAUGUUGAAGUGAAUCUAACGGUUUUUGUGCGUUUCUUAAAUGGCUUAUAAACACCUUCCACGCUGCAAUAGUUUUCGUUCCUGCACAUGAUCUCAGAUCAGGUCACUUGCUAUGCAAGUACAUCUCUAAUCAUUUUUAAAAAUCUUCUACUUAUUAUGUUAAAUCUUCUACUUAUUAGGACUGUUGUGAUAUGGUGUGUAGUAGACUUAUUUGGAAAAACCUGGUUAGUUUCAUGAUAAAACAGUAUCUUUUGUUUGCAAAAUCUGUUAGAUUACUCUAUUUGUUAGUGAGAUUUUUAGGAAAAUAGUGGUAGCGUUGCUGGAAGGACAUCUGAAAAGAUUGGAUUAAAAAUAGAGUAAAACAACAUGAAGAAUGUAUAGUAAGCUGUAUUGAGAAUUAAAAGUAUUAAGUUUUAUUUACAUAAGGUAGUGAGGACAUGUUGUUUCAAUGGAUGGUAGUUUGGUGCAGUUGUUAAAGAAGAAAACUUGAAAAGAAUGAAAUUAGUUGUGAUUUGAAAGCAUUUAUGUUGACUAACAGGCAAUAAGUCAAGACAGGUCAAUGAGAAAAUUUGCGAUUUAGUAGACCACCUUACUUGUGAUACUGUAAGGGAAUCAAAGUUUGGUUCAUGGCCAACUGUAAGAACAUUUUCUUUUAAUCAUUUUAAGAAUUCAUAUUUGAAACACAGCCAAAAGGCUUCUUUGUGGCCAUUGAAACUAUAUCAGCAUUAUCUAUUAUCAUUGUUAUCCAUACAUCAGAGUGAGUUUGGUGGGAGUUCUCAGUGAGCCAGGAACUCUGGUUAACUAAAAAGAAUUUUUAUACCAAACACAAUAUGAUAACUGUGCUAUCUUAUAUACUACCACGUAUCAUGCACUCCAUUAGGUCACAAUACCUUUUGUUCAUAUAAUCCUCAUUGUAAAUUUGAAUAAGAAUUUCUCAUGAAAUCAUGCCAUUUCUCCUUCAAAAUUACAAGAUUGUUUACUUUAUUAAAUGUAUUAUUUCUUGACAUAAUACAUACAUUGAGCCUGUUAACUGGUUUUGUUUUUCACUUGAAACAAUUUCAAUUAUGUUGUUAAUACCUUUGCAUAUGGAUUCUCAAUGUUGCAAUUGUCAGUUCUCUCUCCUAAAAAUUACAACUAUUCUCCCUAAAGAUUGGUGAUUACAAAAUGCAAAGCAGUAAAUGGAGACAUCUGAUGCUUGAUGACCAAAUUUGUAUAAGACAUAUAUAACAAUAAUAAUAAGUAAAUUACACGCAUGAUGGUACUGUCAUGCCUGUGUGGUUAAGAAGUUUGCUUUAUAACCAUAUGAUUCUUCUACCAUAGACUCUGGUGCUCUGAGUAGGAUUUAAAAGAUGGAAACUCUGCAGAUGUCUGCUGUGUGUGCACAGGCAAGGUGAUGGCCUGUAAAUUAUUGAGUUCAGCAGAAAGGACCAUGUGAUGCUUAAGUAUUAAGUUAUAUGGCGUUAGAAGGAUUUAACUAAUCAGUAAAAAACACAUUGAUUGAAUAAGUAUCUGGUAAAAUACUGGAAUUGUUGUAGCCUAAAGACUGAAGACCAGUAAAAGAAUAGAAUUAUCCUGCUGUGUUUUUGUUACAUAAUUCUUAAUGAAGUUUGAUCUGUUGUAGCUUUGAAAAUUGCAGGGCAAUAUCUCUUCAGAAGAUUAACAACUAUUAUAAUUAAUCAGUCUCAGCAUUGGUUUAAUGUACAGUUUUGUAUAUAGUUGAACUACAAUUCAGUGCAUCAGGCUUUCUUGUGUUAUUUAAUCUGAGAGUUGUAACAUUCUGAGUUCACAUAAAACAUAAAACCUGAUGCUAAGUUUUCUGUGAUCACUGUCUCCUUCCAAUAUUCUAUAUAACUUUUCCAUGCUAUGUUUUUGUUAAUUUGCAUUAUAUAUUAAUACCAUUAGCCAUGCCAAUCACUUUUUCAGUUCAUCCUUAAGAUCUUUGGUGGAAAAUAUUCUUAAUAAUGGUAAUAAUUCAGCACUGUUUGCCAUCACCAUUGAAAGAAAAGAGAAAUACUUUGCCACUUUUUGUCUUUAUUCUUAAUAUUCAAUACUAUCAGACAGGGUGUUAGAUGGCAGAAUUAGUACAACUUAGACAAAAUGCCUUGCAAAAUGUUCUGAUGUAUUAUCAAAUCAAACCAAAGUUAACAUUAUUUUUCAUCCUUUGGGGUCCAAUAGGAUUAAUAUUAUUCAAGUACUUCCAUCAAUCUAAUUGACUAAACUUCUCUUACAAAAAUCAUCAUCAUUGCCACUUGGUGUUUUUCUUUCCUUUAAAGAUAAAUUUUUAUUAGAUUAUUUAUCUACUAUUGAUUUACUUGUUUGUGUUGGUUAUAAUUAUGCCAUGGAAUGUAUUCCAAAAUUUAUCAACUCAUUAAAGUUCAUUUUCACUUAUCCUAUAACUUGAGAUUUGUUAUUAAAAGUUAAUAGGAUUUCAAAUAUGAAGAAAUCUGUAAAUGAUAUUUGAUAAAGUUUCUGAAGCCAUCUAAGUUCCUCUUACUUUGACUUUCUCAUGGAUUUUGUUUAUCAACCACAUUUCAGAGUGCACUUCAUUGUGGCACUCUUGUGAUGGUACCAUGAUAAAAUGUACUCUUACAUAAAAAAGGGUUGGUAUUAGGAGGGCAUUCAGCUACAGAAGCCAUGCCAAAAAUGAAACAUACAAGUGAGGCAUUGUCUUUCAACUUAUCUUCAAGGGUAGAAUGUGAACUGAUAUAAAAUGUAGAUGGAAAAUGAAUAUAAAAUGAUGAUAAUGGUGAUGUUUGUAUUUGUUUCUUUUAAUGUGACUGUAGUUUUUCAGAUGUUUUUAAAGAUCAGUUACUAUAAUUUCUACAUUAUGGGACAGUUGUUACUUAUAAACUGUUAUAUCAACUAAGCAUUUAAAGCUUCUUCCUUGGUUUGCUCAGCCAAUAUCUUAACUUUCAAUAACUGCAUGCUGCUCAUAACUCCUGGAGACUUCAAAAAAUAGUUGAGUGAAUAAGGUGUUGGACUGUUAGCAUACAAGAUUGUGAGUUUGAAUCUGUUUGGCAUUCCAUUAUGAGUCCUGAGAGAAAGUCUUAAAUCUUCAUUUCCUGAGUUCACUUUGUUAGGGAGAAAUGAUGCCAAACAUUUCCAAUUAAGUUGACAACAGUAGAUUUGUACCUUGCCUAAAAGGAGAUUUGUUCUUCAUUUGUCUCAGUUCAGUAAAAUGUUUCCAAAGAUAAGUGCUUUUUCCAUGGAUAUAGUGCACUUAUAAAGCUCUGACUAUAUCCAGUUAAAAUUUUAAAAAUUAAACUUGGAAAAUAAUUGACAUCUUACAGUAUUUCAAGUUGGUUAAAUCAUGAGUUAUAUCAUCUCAGAUUCAUUAUUUAUAUCUCAAAGCAGUGAAAAUAUUGAUUAGGCUUAUUUUGAUAAUAGAUUUUCUUUCUUUCAUCCUCUCACUCUCCACCUCUUAAUUCAUACACACAUGCAUGUAGUUGACAGCAUCUGUUAUUUAAAUGACUUGAUCAGCAGUGGAAGUGGAUGUCUUGAAAAAGUAGCCAGCGUAAGAAUGGCAUUGGAAAAAUCUAGGGAGAUAUCGUCUCUGCUGGCAACAAAGGGAUUCUAUCUGUGAGUGAAAGACAGAUUAUACAAUAUUUCUAUAUGAAGUGUUAUCUUGUAUGAUAGUGAGACAUGGGUAUUAAAUCUGGAAGAUUAUGAAGGAUGGGAAGAAAUGAGAUGAACAUUCCCUAUUGAAAUGUUAACGUGAAUGAGUGACAGUGUAAAUUGAGGGGAAAAAUAUAGGUGUAAGAUGAAUUGGUUGUAGUGUACAAGAGAGAAAACUGAAAGUAAAGACAUGUAGAAGAAAUUCAGAUUAUGCAAUAGAAGCAACUCUGUAAUGUGAACAUUAUCAAUAGCACAUACUUAAUGUACAUGUGUUGUUUAAAUGCCAGAAGCUGUGUUUUUCUUUUUUUUUUUAUGUCUGGGGGAAAAAUCCCUUUAAAGAUGUAUCGUGUUAAAAGUGCAGUAUACUUUAGAACUAGCUGAAAUGAAAUCACCCCAGAAGUGAUCAUGAGAGCAACAGACAUCAUAUUUCAUUGUAGUUGACUUAUCAAUAUUGUGCACUUUAUUCAUUUUGAAAUGAAAACAAAAUCAUAGGGGAUGAUAUUUGGAUCACUGCAACCUGUGGAACCUCACGAAGGAGAUGACAGAUGACUACAACAAGCAUUAAGUUGAUGUGCAGGAGUAGACCCAGCCAACCUGUACAAGCAAGGAAUAACAGACAUAGAAUGAUGAUGUAUUCGUAUUAUAUACACAUACAUACACUGUACUCUUUAUUCCUGUUAUUACUCAUCAAAAUAUCAAUCAGAAUAUUUCUGACAUUUACAUUGCCAUAAGCAAUGUAAAACAAAGUAUUCUUAUUUAAACAAAAAGUGUAUUCAUGCUAGACUUUAUUUGUUAAAUAAUAACCUAUAACAAUUUGUUUCUUUACUAUAUACACUCACACUACAACAGUUUACACUAAUUACAAAUUGUAAGUCAAGAGAAAUACUUCAAGUGGAUAAGACUUGAAUUUAGAUAAUCCAGGUAGAGCUUAUGUACUGAAUGAUGCAUGCAAAAAUUCUAAAUGAAAUGAAAUAUGCCUUUUAGUUUCAGAACGAAACUUAAUGGCAUUCAUUAGGGACACACUUUGUUGGGGUUAUAGAACAAAAACUUUUAGGAUCUCAUGAAAUAAAUCAAAAGUGAAUUUAAGAAAAAUUAGUGUGCUUUUAAAUGGCUAGAAUGACUAUGAAUAAUUGCUUUAUCUUUAAUACAUAUAUAUCCAUAGAACAAGCCACAACCACAGUCUUCUGACCCAUUGGGUCCUUUUGAACCACCUGAUUAAAAAAUAGACAUUAAAUGGUGAUGAUGAUGACUGACAAUUUACUAUAUGUAAAUACAUACAUGCAUAUAUAUGUACACACACACACAUACAUAUAUACUUUAUUUGUAGAUUAAGGCUAACAUUGGUUUUAUGAUAAAGAAGCCCUUAACAAUUGUCAAGCCAACCACAUGGAACAUCAGUGUUUUUGACCAAUGGUAGCCUUAAUCCACAAAUAAAGAAUCCACCAAUGCAGUGCUGAGCACUCAUUCUCAUUAUUUGAUAUAUAUUUAUAUAUAUAUAUAUACACACACAAACAUAAAUUUAUAAUACACACACACAUACAUAUACACACACGAUAUUCAUGUAGAUUUACAGGGUGUCGCCCCCCCAAAAGGAUACACUUAUUUAAUAAUUUUAAAGUCAGUUGUUGAGCAGUGAUGGGGGACAAACACAGAUAUAAACACACACACACACAAUUACAACAGGUUUUUUCGGUUACCAUCUCCCAAAUCCAUUCAGAAGGCUUUGGUCAGCCUGCAGUUAUCGUAGAAGACCCAAGGUUCCAUGCAGUGGGACUGAACCUAGAACCAUGUGGUUUGGAAAGCAUAGUUCUUAACACACAGCAUCACCUGCUUGUUAAUUAACAUGGUAUUGUUCCAUAAUAUGUGGAUUCUCAGGUCAGCUAUAGGAUCACUUGUGGCAGUUAAUUGAGCUAUUUACUGUAUUUUAACAUGUAUAAGGAACCCCAUAAUUUUUGGGGCUUAAAAUUUGGAAAAAAGAUUUUGUAGGUGAUUUUAAUACUAUGUAUAAGAAACUUCCAUAUUUUUUAACCUAAUAUUUGACAAAAAAGGGCUCCUUAUACAUGUUAAAAUAUGGUAAUUUUAAUGUAGCUUCACCACUCCAAACAAUCUUUGAUGGAAAGUGUCCACCUUCUACACAUCUUGCCAAGUUCCACAAUUGGAAAACUCCAUUUUUCAGUCCAAAAUAUAUUAGUAUAGCACAGGAAAAAUGUCCUGCAGUAGUAAUGGGAAUGCUAGAUGUGCAUUUCUGCCUUUUUUGGUAAAUAUUUACAUACAUGGCUGUUUCCUGCACCAGCUUCACAUAGAAGCCCCAGCCCAUCCAAAGUGUCUUGGAUUGCAGGACGGCCUACUGUGCUUGAGGAGACCUAUUGAAUCGAGUACAUCAACAUAAAAAAAAAAAUCAAAUGGAAAUUGUAGUUGUGAUACCUGUGCUGGUGGCACGUAAAAAGCGCCAUCCGUACAUGGCCAAUGCCAGCACUGCCUUGACUGGCUUCCGUGCUGGUGGCACGUAAAAAGUACCAACUGAUCGUGGCCAUUGCCAGACUCCCCUGGCACCUGUGCUGGUGGCAUGUAAAAAGCACCCACUACACUCACGGAGUGGUUGGCGUUAGGAAGGGCAUCCAGCUGUAGAAACACUGCCAGAUCAGACUGGAGCCUGGUGCAGCCUCCUGGCUUCCCAGACCCCGGUCAAACCGUCCAACCCAUGCUAGCAUGGAAGUCAGGCAUUAAACGAUGAUGAUGAUGAUAUGUAUGUACAUAUAGAUAUGUUUGUAUGUGAGGGCACAUAGCCUAGUGGUUAGGGUGUUGCACUCACAAUUGUGAGAUUGUGGUUUCAGUUCCUAUACUGGAUGGUGUGUGGUGUUGAUGAGCAAAAUACUUAAGCUGAUGUUGCUCUGCAAUCACUUCAACAUCUGACACAUCGUACAUUGUGCACCUAUUCAGGCAAUGUCAUUUGAAGGAGGGAGUGAGAUAAUAUACAGCACAUUCAUUUGAUGAAACGAAAUCAUUUGUGCAUGUUGUUUCACAAAAACUGUACACUCAUACAUUAUCUUCGAUGGGAGAGUCCAUCUUAUAUUUGUGUAUCGAUGUACCUGAAAGCUUUUCUCUAUGUCUUUUAAAUAUUGUGGAUGAAACAAACAAAUUUAAUUCAUAAUGUCAUUAUCUUUCUUUAUUUUUGUCUCCAUCUUCCAGUCUUCAUUUUUCUCUGAGUGAAACACUAAUGUGGAAUUAUUAACAUUUGAAUUGCUAUAUAUUUUAACUGUAAAAUUUGAAUAUCUUCAAUUAAUUUUACUUUUGCUUAUUUCGCUCUUUGCUGCUUUAUUAACUUUGAAAAGGUAAAAAACACUAAGGCCUAUACUAAUAUACAUUUUAAUAUAUAAUUUUAAAACUGAUCAAUGUAAGUUGUUCUAAGCAUAUAUCUAAGCACAUAUAUACAUAUAAAUAUACAUACACAUAUAUAUAUAUAUAUACACAUAUAUACAUAUAUAUAUAAAUAUAUUGACAUAUAUACAUUAUAUAUAUAUAUAUAUACACACACACACAUAUAUAUAUAGAUAUACAUAUAUAUAUAUAUAUAUAUAUAUAUAUAUAUAUAUAUAUAUACAUAUACAUAUAUAUAAAUAUAUUGACAUAUAUACAUAUAUAUAUAUAUAUAUAUAUAUAUAUAUAAUAUAUAUAAAUAUAUUACAUAUAUACAUAUACAUAUAUAUAAAUAUAUUGACAUAUAUACAAUAUGUAUAUAUAUAUAUACAUAUACAUAUAUAUAAAUAUAUUGACAUAUAUACAAUAUAUAUAUGUAUAUAUAUAUACACAUAUACAUAUAUAUAUAAAUAUAUUGACAUAUAUACAUUUUAUAUAUAUAUAUAUAUAUGCAUAUAUUUAUAUAUAUUUAUUUAUAUUGAGGACAUUACUAUACAUAAAUUCCACACACUAGGAGGGACUCUUUAAAGUCAGAACUACCAAAAUAAAUAAACACAUGGUAUUGAAUAUGAGGGAAUGCAACUCUUGAAGCGAGCCCUUUAAAAACAGAAUUCAGCUGCAUAUCACAUGAUUUCAUAAUUAGUCCACAAAUGCACUUUUUAACCUUCAGUGCAAGCAUAAUUCAAGAUUUGUAAAAAAUGAACAAAAAUCAACAUACCAGACGGACACCCAAUGUAUCCAGCGUAGCAUAUAGAAUUGUUCAUCCUUUGCACAUCUAUGUAAUAGGCGGGCUUUUUCGAAUUACAUCUCAGUACAACGUGUUUUUAUAUGUACAUAUACACAAAUAUAUUCAUAUAUAUAUAUAUAUAUAUAUAUACAUACACAAACAUAUAUAUAUAUGCUUGUAUGGAUACAUAUAUAUACAUAUAUAUAAGCUUGUAUAUAUAUAUAUAUGCAUAUUUGUAUAUGUGUAUAUGCAUGUAUAUAUGGGUAUAUAUAUAUAUAUAUAUAUGUAUAUGCAUGUAUAUAUGUAUAUAUGUGUAUAUAUAAAUAUAUAUAUGUAUAAAUGUAUAUGCAUGUAUAUAUGUGUAUAUAUAAAUAUAUAUAUGUAUAAAUGUAUAUGCAUGUAUAUAUGGGUAUAUAUAAAUAUAUAUAUGUAUAUAUAUAUAUAUACAUAUAUAUAUGUAUAUAUGCAUGCAUUUAUGUAUAAAUGCAUAUGUCUAUAUGUAUGCAUGGAAAUUUUUACCUCAGAGACGCACCGUGUUCUGGCCAUCCACUUGAGUUUGAUGAAUAGCGAUUAAACCACCUUUUGCAUGAAAAGUCUUGUCACAUGACAAGGGAACUGGCUGAGAAAAUGGAAUGCUCCCACACUGCUAUUGAGAAGCAUCUUCACUUGAUGGGAAAGGUUCAGAAGUAUUGAGCAUGGGUUCUGCAUGCUUUAAGUGAUAACAACAAAAAUCAACUUGCCGCAUUCUCUACUGGUUUGCUUGCUCGUUACCACUCCCCUCAUGGACACAAGCAAUGAUUUCUUUACUGAAUUGUUACUGGCGAUGUAAAAUGGUGCCUGUGCAUCAGUAUGAUACAGCGUAAGGAAUGGCUUAGCCCUGGUAAACAAGCGACAUCGCGUGUGAAACAAGAUCUUCAUCCACAUAAAAUGAUGUUGUGCAUAUGGUGGGACUGGGAAGGGAUUAUCCAUUACAAACUGCUUGAAUGGAACCAGACGGUCAAUGCGGAACUCUAUGUUCAAUAGAUAGAAACACUCAUCAUGGCUAUUCAAAAGAAAAGACCUAGUCAGCAGCAUGGAGUUCUUCUGCUGCACAGCAACAUCUGCCCUCAUAUCACCAAUUUGCUGCCACACCUGUUGUACUCUCCUGAUUUAGAACCAAUGGAUUUCUACCUCUUUUGAUCUCUUUGAAAUGCUAUGCACAGAGUUUUGUUCAAUACUGAUGCAGAAUUGAGAGUUUGAUUGGGUCAAUUUUUCGAGUUGAAAUCGACUGAUUUCUACCAACAAAAUAUUGAAAAUCUUGUUGAAUGUUGGGUAGAAGUUGUUAACAACAAGGGUGAAUACAUUAUUGAUUAAUUAGUUAUUUUUGUAUUAAACCUUUUAAAAAACUUAAAAUAAAAAAAAAAAAACGGUGGGAACAUAUAUCUACAUUAUAUAUAAAAUUAAAUAAGGGUAGAAAUUGAUAUUAAUCAAUUAAAACCAGUGGCUUAGCAUAUUUAAAAAAUCCGAAGAUUAAAAAUUGUGUUACAUACAAAAUUGAGAAGAAUGACCACUAAAGUGGACACUCUAUAUGCUAAACGUAGACGUCAAAUCAUCAUUACCAUGAAGAAUGUGUUCUCAAGAAAAAUCUCAGCAAAAAACCAAAAUGUAAAAAUAAGCAAGACAAAUGAAAAUAUGCGAAAUAUAAGAUGAUUACCUAUGUACCAUCGUUUCACUUGUUAAUAUUUACGUAUAUGAACAUGCAAAUAUUUGCAAGAUUAUCAGCAUAGUCUGUCGUUUACAAAACAUAAUUUCCAGAACUAGAUACAGAAUGCUCAACUGAAAUAGAGCAUGUAUAAAGUUCUACAAAUUAUAUUUGGGUGUAUCUUUCAAAUGCUUAGCGAAGGCAUCUGGGAGAUGUAUAACUGCUGUCAUUCACAGAAAAACUAUUGGUUUACUGUGAGAAGAGCACUAUUCAUGCUAUGCUUGCAUGAAGCCACUACAAAUACGUUGUGGAAUAAAAAAUUUAUCUACUGUCAUGGAAAAAGUGUAACUGUAAGAAUGCAGAAUUAUCGGCGUAAUGGGCAUUCAAAAUAAUAUGUAUGUAUAGAAAUGUAUGAAUGAAGUUUUUAAUGUUUAAGAUUCAAAUUAAGGAAGUGCAAUAAUAAUGUUUAGCAGUUCAAAACUGAGUUGUGAAAUACAGAAUUAGGUUGGCUGAUCAUGAGAAUCAAAUAUUGAUAGCUUUGCUAAAAUCUGCAGGUGGUAUGGGUUAUUUCCCUUGGGUUGUUUAAAUAAAAUAUUAGUAAUAUGUAGAUAGAAGAAUCCAUUGGAAGGACCCUAUUAUCGAUUUUUUUUUCAACAAUCUAAGUAUGUCACGGGGUUUCCAGAUAUGAGUUCUACUCACGUGUCAAAUAAAGUAUAAAAGUGAUAUUGUCUGCAAAAAUUAGAAGUAGGACACAUGAAAAAUCAAUAUUCAAAGUAAUUGGACAUAAACAAUGAAAUGUUUAAAUGAUAUACAUUUAACCCUUUUAAACCAAAAAGAUUGAAUGAGUAUUUUCUGCAAAUCACACAGUGCCUGAAUGAACUUAACAUAUCUCAAUGGUAAAUAGUUUCAAACAUGACACUCCUCAACAAAAGACUGGUUUGUAUAUAAUACUGCUUUCCACGUCCAUUUAGGUAAAUAACAUUCUGUGCAUAAUGAAUAUGUCCCUCCUUUAAGAAACAGAUUGGGUUUAUUUACAUUUGUGAAGAAAAAAGAUACCCUUCCCCCACCCCUAACCCUAACCCUAAAUCUAAAAUAGAUUGAAAUGCAAUAGAUCGAUACUAGGGUUAUAAUUAGGGGUGAUAAUUUCAUACGACACCGCUAUGGAAAAUGGGAUUUUUUUCUAGCAGUGUCAAAUGAAAAUGUCAUCCAUAAUUAUGGCCCUAGUAUCGAUCUAAUGCAUUUCAAUCUAUUUUAGAUUUAGUGUUAGGGUUAGGGGUUGGGGAAGGGUAUUUUUUUCUUCACAAAUGUAAAUAAACCCAAUCUGUUUCUUAAAGGAGGGACAUAUUCAUUAUGCACAGAAUGUUAUUUACCUAAAUGGACAUACGCGAUUGGUUAAAAUUACCGAAAUGCUCGAAAUUAAAGACGAAAUAUCUUACAACCUAUAGAAUUUUCUCAAUAAAGCCAAGAGAAAAUGAUGUUUUAUAAACACAUUCUACCAGUAUAUGAAGUUUAAAACUUUUUAGUUACCUAGAAAUUAUGUUACAAAGUGCCGUUCAAAAGGAAAAGAUCCAAAAGAUUUAUAGAUUUUAUCAUUGUUGAUUAAUUGUAUUUCAUUUAUUGUACCCUUUUCAUUUAUAAAUAAACAACUGCAUUUUAUAUAGUUGUCAUGUUAUUUUUUAAAAAUUAAUAUUACAUAUUGACUGUGUUGACUUACAGAUAUUUUAUGCUUGAUGGAUUUAUAUUUUUCAAUAUUUUACUAUUUAUUUAUUAACUUGUUAUUUUGCUGUGCUAAAUCACAAAAAAAAAAAAAGAAAAUGUUUGUAAUCAAGAAAUUAAUCUUUAAAAAAAUGAACACUGUUCUUUCAAAUUAUAACAAGGCUUUCUUGGAGACAUCAACAGAGCUACUACAUGGUCAGUCGAUCUGCUAGAGAUAACAGCUAAAUCAACCUCAGCAUGUCAACAUUUUAUAGUGUAGCCCGUCAUACACUAUUUUUGAAAAUAAAACUGAUUGUUAUGGCUUGAAUGUCUUAGAUCAUAGUUCAAGUAGUUGAGAACCCACUUGGGUUUAACCCUUUUGCAUUCAGAUUACUCUGUUAAAUGUAAUGCUUAAUUAUUCACAUUGUUUUGAAUUAACCAUGUAUCAUCUUGUAAUUCUGAGAUUUCAAUGUGAUUGUUUAUUUUUAUAAUGUCAUUGUAGGGUAGGUGGGAGAAGCUGGAUCUGAUCAGUUGGAACAUACCAGAGGUAGAAUAUUUUGGGCAGAUAUGGUUAACUCUUUAGCAUUAUAUGGAAAAUAGGGUUCUAAUAGAAGUAUUGUAUUGGUAUGUCUUAAAAUCGGUGGAAAUUACUAUAGAACUACA